rnacentral:rRNA from 1 species
CCCUUAGAUGUUCUGGGCUGCACGCGCGCUACACUGAAGCUAUCAACACGUUUUCCCUCCCUGAGAAGGGCGGGUAACCUUUUGAAUCAGCUUCGUGGUAGGGAUCGGGGCUUGCAAUUGUUCCCCGUGAACCAGGAAUUCCUAGUAGACGCGAGUCAUAAGCUCGCAUCGAUUAAGUCCCUGCCCUUUGUACACACCGCCCGUCGCUACUACCGAUUGAACGUUUUAGUGAGGCAUUUGGACCGACGCAUCUCAGUUUAACCGCUGGUUUGUGUUGGAAAGACUUCCAACCUUGAGCGUUUAGAGGAAGUAAAAGUCGUAACA